GACCUCACUACAAAGAUGAAAAAUGCAUCUUCAAAGCAUUUACAUUUGAGAACAAACUAUGACUGUUUUAUGCAGAACUUUUUUUUUAUAAAAAGUACACAAGAUACAUUUGAAAAAAUAGAAAGAAAUCAAAAGAAGUUGGAAGAAAAUGUAGUAAACUUUCCAAGGCACACACAGAGCACUCGAGUAGAAUGAGGCCAAGGAGUAUGGUGGGAAUGUGACAUUGAACAUCGAGCAAGAUGGGAUUUAGAGGAGAAGCAAAAACAAACACAAGAAGCAGCUCCAGAAAUUACAGAGCAGUUCAGAAAAACUAAUUUUACUUCAAUAAGAAGUCAGAUGGAACUCAGAAUUAGCCAUCUGGAAUCUGAACUGAAAAUUCUAAGAAAUGCAACUGAGAGAAUAUAGGCACUUCCAUAUAGAACAAUCCAGAUUCCACAAAAUAUGUAGACCAAUAUGGAUCCCAGCAAGACUUGUGCAACACUUGAUGGCUGAUUCCCCAGAUGCAGAUACUGACUCUCAAGAUGAGAAAGCAUCACCAAUGACAAUAAACCAGAAUAUCCAAAAACCUGUGGUGAUGUCAAUGUGUUGGUCAAACAAUCUGAACAGAUGGGAUAAAUU